GCAUGAUCCUUGGGUGGGGGGAACCAAGUCCUGCAUCGGGCUCUCAGUGAGGAGUCUGCUUCUCCCUCUGCCAGUGUCUCUGCCCCCCUUCUCUCUCUGUCUCAUAAAUAAAUGAAUAAAAUCUAAAAAAAAAAAAAGAAAAGAAAACAAAAAAAACGCUGAAAUAUCUCAGCUAACUGAGGUAUUUUAGCAUGCAAACUUUAUCUCUUUGGUUAUCUCCUGUACCCAAAAGUUGUGCAGGAAGCUCUCCUCUAGACUUACAUAGAUUGAACUUGAAACUGGAGCCACCAUAAGUAUACAGAGAGGUGGGGCGACCACGAUGAUACGCCUUGAGGAUCUCUUACCACAGGGCUUGUAAUUGAUUGAGAGCUUCAGUGCUGGCUUUGACAUUCCCAGGUCUUGAUUGAGCACAGCAGUGCUCCACCCAGGGCCCUGCCAGACAUUCCUUAGACUUCACAGCGAUCUAGGAUGCUCCCACAAAAUCUUCCUUUCCCCUCCUGAGAGUCUCAGGAUGGUCCUCCUCACCUUGCCUGACUUCCUCAUUUUUUUCUCACACAGGCCUUUCCCCUAACAAAAUCCUUCUAGGUCACAUUUGAGCCUCUGCUUCUAGCAGAAUCGUGACUAACACAAAAGGGUUUGACAUAGAAAUUAAAUUGGGUAACAAGUAUAACAGGGAUCCCAUUUUUGGACUUUGUUUUACAGAGGAGACAGCUUCUCUUCUUGCACCCUGUCCACCUUAUGUUCUGGGGGGAAGAAUAGAAUAAAUGCCAUCGCAAGAAAGCAGAGCAUAUGAUGUGAGAGAAGCCCAUCCAGACAGAAAGAGGAAGGGAAAACAUUCUUGAGGACUUCAGGCAUCAUAUGCGUAAAACAUUUAUGUUCUAUUACUAAAUAAGCCUUAAGUGUUCUUUGGAGUAGACCCUCUACCACUUUCCCACUACUUUUCUUACCAUUAUACGUUUUUCCAGGUUGGGAUGCAGAAACUGGAGCACACACAGCUUUAGGGACCUGCUGUGCCUCCCACAGCAGACAAGGCCCAGUUCCUCCACGGCGCCCACGUGGUGGAUUGAAGAAGAAAGCCAAGAGCCUAGCAAGCCUUUGAACUACGAUUAAGAGUGGCUGCCAGCUGCCCAUGUAAGUCUGCC
rnacentral:lncRNA from 12 species